ensembl:snRNA U1 U1 spliceosomal RNA
AUACUUACUUGGCAGAGGGAUAUCAUGAUUAUAAAGAUGGUUUCCCAGGGCAAGACUUAUCCAUCGCACUCCAGAUGUGCUGACCCUUGUGGUUUCUCCUAAUGUAGGAAACUCGACUGCAUAAUUUUUGGUAGUGGGAGACUGCGUUGAUGUUCUCCCCUG